rnacentral:rRNA from 1 species
UUAAUGAAUUUAAUGUGGAGUUGGUUGUAGCUGGUCCAUUUGGAUUUUUUAAAUAAUUUCCUUUGGACAUGUGCACACCUUCUCUUUCAUCCACACACACCUGUGAACUUGUGAGGCAGAUUUGCUCUUUGGGGACUUUAACUAGAAACCAAUUAGCUGCUGUCUACUUAAUUUACACAAACUCUAUUUAUUUUAAAAUGAAUGUAAUUGAUGUAACGCAUCUAAUACU